UACGUAGGGGGCUAGCGUUGUCCGGAUUUAUUGGGCGUAAAGAGCGUGUAGGCGGCCAGGUAGGUCUGCUGUGAAAACUCGAGGCUCAACCUCGAGACGUCGGCGGAAACCAUCUGGCUAGAGUCCGGAAGAGGAGAGUGGAAUUCCUGGUGUAGCGGUGAAAUGCGCAGAUAUCAGGAAGAACACCCGUGGCGAAGGAGGCUCUCUGGGACGGUACUGACGCUGAGACGCGAAAGCGUGGGGAGCGAACAGG
rnacentral:rRNA from 1 species